AUACGUAGGGGGCGAGCGUUGUCCGGAAUGAUUGGGCGUAAAGGGCGCGUAGGCGGCCCGGUAAGUCUGGAGUGAAAGUCCUGUUUUUAAGAUGGGAAUUGCUUUGGAUACUGUCGGGCUUGAGUGCAGGAGAGGUAAGUGGAAUUCCCAGUGUAGCGGUGAAAUGCGUAGAGAUUGGGAGGAACACCAGUGGCGAAGGCGACUUACUGGACUGUAACUGACGCUGAGGCGCGAAAGUGUGGGGAGCAAACAGGAUGAGAUACCCUGGUAGUCCACACUGUAAACGAUGAAUGCUAGGUGUAGGGGGUAUCGACCCCUUCCGUGCCGCAGGUAACACAAUAAGUAUUCCCCCUGGGGAGUACGAUCUCAAGAUUGAAACUCAAAGGAAUUGACGGGG
rnacentral:rRNA from 1 species